UCUUUUUCCACCGGAGCUUGCUCCACCGGAAAAAGAAGAGUGGCGAACGGGUGAGUAACACGUGGGUAACCUGCCCAUCAGAAGGGGAUAACACUUGGAAACAGGUGCUAAUACCGUAUAACAAUCGAAACCGCAUGGUUUUGAUUUGAAAGGCGCUUUCGGGUGUCGCUGAUGGAUGGACCCGCGGUGCAUUAGCUAGUUGGUGAGGUAACGGCUCACCAAGGCCACGAUGCAUAGCCGACCUGAGAGGGUGAUCGGCCACAUUGGGACUGAGACACGGCCCAAACUCCUACGGGAGGCAGCAGUAGGGAAUCUUCGGCAAUGGACGAAAGUCUGACCGAGCAACGCCGCGUGAGUGAAGAAGGUUUUCGGAUCGUAAAACUCUGUUGUUAGAGAAGAACAAGGAUGAGAGUAACUGUUCAUCCCUUGACGGUAUCUAACCAGAAAGCCACGGCUAACUACGUGCCAGCAGCCGCGGUAAUACGUAGGUGGCAAGCGUUGUCCGGAUUUAUUGGGCGUAAAGCGAGCGCAGGCGGUUUCUUAAGUCUGAUGUGAAAGCCCCCGGCUCAACCGGGGAGGGUCAUUGGAAACUGGGAGACUUGAGUGCAGAAGAGGAGAGUGGAAUUCCAUGUGUAGCGGUGAAAUGCGUAGAUAUAUGGAGGAACACCAGUGGCGAAGGCGGCUCUCUGGUCUGUAACUGACGCUCAGGCUCGAAAGCGUGGGGAGCAAACAGGAUUAGAUACCCUGGUAGUCCACGCCGUAAACGAUGAGUGCUAAGUGUUGGAGGGUUUCCGCCCUUCAGUGCUGCAGCUAACGCAUUAAGCACUCCGCCUGGGG
rnacentral:rRNA from 1 species